ACUAAGAGGAACUGGACACCAGGAGCCUCAUACCAGGACUGCCCAGCCGAGCCACUCGAUUCCUGACCCACAUGGCCCUUGAGAUGACAAGUGAUUGCUGCUUAAAGUCACUGAGUUCUGGAGUAAUUUACAUCACGGCAAUAGAAAAUGUAGGGAGGGGACAGCCUAUGUAAGAGCAUACAAAGCCAGAGAUUCAGGCUGGAGGAAAAAGAUGUCUGUUCUUCCCUGUGUGCAUGAACGAGCCUGGAAACAGAUCUUGGGUGGGCUAAGAAGCAGAGCUCAUGUGAUGAAGAGUGCCUGGAAAGGGCAGGUGCCAAAAGAGCACCACUCCCCAUCUGCCCGACCUUCUGCGAAACAAGCCCGCCCUUGAAGGAGAGAAAACGCUCUUCUAAAAAUGGAAGAGAAGACAGACACAGAACAGCUUGUCCCUUUCCAUCCAAUUAAAAACCUCGUGAGACUGAACUAGAUUAAAAACAAAACUCUCCAGCGAAGCCGCAGGCGCCUCCAAGAUAGGGAGUCCACCACCAAUAAAGUACGGCAGAUGCCAGCA
rnacentral:antisense_RNA from 1 species